AGAGUUUGAUCCUGGCUCAGGAUGAACGCUGGCGGCGUGCCUAAUACAUGCAAGUCGAGCGAACAGAUAAGGAGCUUGCUCCUUUGACGUUAGCGGCGGACGGGUGAGUAACACGUGGGUAACCUACCUAUAAGACUGGGAUAACUUCGGGAAACCGGAGCUAAUACCGGAUAACAUUUGGAACCGCAUGGUUCUAAAGUAAAAGAUGGUUUUGCUAUCACUUAUAGAUGGACCCGCGCCGUAUUAGCUAGUUGGUAAGGUAACGGCUUACCAAGGCGACGAUAAGUAGCCGACCUGAGAGGGUGAUCGGCCACACUGGAACUGAGACACGGUCCAGACUCCUACGGGAGGCAGCAGUAGGGAAUCUUCCGCAAUGGGCGAAAGCCUGACGGAGCAACGCCGCGUGAGUGAUGAAGGGUUUCGGCUCGUAAAACUCUGUUAUUAGGGAAGAAUAAAUGUGUAAGUAACUGUGCACGUCUUGACGGUACCUAAUCAGAAAGCCACGGCUAACUACGUGCCAGCAGCCGCGGUAAUACGUAGGUGGCAAGCGUUAUCCGGAAUUAUUGGGCGUAAAGCGCGCGUAGGCGGUUUCUUAAGUCUGAUGUGAAAGCCCACGGCUCAACCGUGGAGGGUCAUUGGAAACUGGGAAACUUGAGUGCAGAAGAGGAAAGUGGAAUUCCAUGUGUAGCGGUGAAAUGCGCAGAGAUAUGGAGGAACACCAGUGGCGAAGGCGACUUUCUGGUCUGUAACUGACGCUGAUGUGCGAAAGCGUGGGGAUCAAACAGGAUUAGAUACCCUGGUAGUCC
rnacentral:rRNA from 1 species